UACGAAGGGGGCUAGCGUUGCUCGGAAUCACUGGGCGUAAAGGGUGCGUAGGCGGGUUUUUAAGUCAGGGGUGAAAUCCUGGAGCUCAACUCAGAACUGCCUUUGAUACUGAAAAUCUUGAGUAUGGGAGAGGUGAGUGGAACUGCGAGUGUAGAGGUGAAAUUCGUAGAUAUUCGCAAGAACACCAGUGGCGAAGGCGGCUCACUGGCCCAUAACUGACGCUGAGGCACGAAAGCGUGGGGAGCAAACGGG
rnacentral:rRNA from 1 species